rnacentral:rRNA from 1 species
UACAGAGGUCUCAAGCGUUGUUCGGAUUCAUUGGGCGUAAAGGGUGCGUAGGCGGCGCGGUAAGUCGGGUGUGAAAUCUUGGAGCUUAACUCCGAAACUGCAUUCGAUACUGCCGUGCUUGAGGACUGGAGAGGAGACUGGAAUUUACGGUGUAGCGGUGAAAUGCGUAGAUAUCGUAAGGAAGACCAGUGGCGAAGGCGGGUCUCUGGACAGUUCCUGACGCUGAGGCACGAAGGCCCAGGGGAGCGAACGGG